rnacentral:rRNA from 1 species
UGGCGGCAUGCCUUACACAUGCAAGUCGAACGGCAGCGGACCUUCGGGUGCCGGCGAGUGGCGAACGGGUGAGUAAUAUAUCGGAACGUACCUUUCAGUGGGGGAUAACGUAGCGAAAGUUACGCUAAUACCGCAUAUUCUGUGAGCAGGAAAGCAGGGGAUCGCAAGACCUUGCGCUGAUUGAGCGGCCGAUAUCAGAUUAGCUAGUUGGUGAGGUAAAGGCUCACCAAGGCGACGAUCUGUAGCGGGUCUGAGAGGAUGAUCCGCCACACUGGAACUGAGACACGGUCCAGACUCCUACGGGAGGCAGCAGUGGGGAAUUUUGGACAAUGGGCGCAAGCCUGAUCCAGCCAUGCCGCGUGAGUGAAGAAGGCCUUCGGGUUGUAAAGCUCUUUCGGCCGGGAAGAAAUCGCACAGGUUAAUACCCUGUGUGGAUGACGGUACCGGAAUAAGAAGCACCGGCUAACUACGUG